rnacentral:tRNA from 1 species
GGUAAGGUGGCCGAGAGAGGCAUUGAGCUGUAGUCUCAAGCAGGGGACGCGGGUCUCCCUUAUCA